UUAAUGUUGGUUCCUGUUCUUAGAACAGGCGAAGAGGGAAUGCGACAGGUUUUACGACGUCUAACGAGGUCCAGACCGAAACGCAGCCGCCCCCGCGACCGUCAACGGAAAGUGUGCGUAUCCACUGGCAACCCUGGGAAGGAACGCUGCACGCUAAGGCCAUAGGCCUUUGGAUCCGUAAGCCGGGAGACCUGCCAACGUUAA
rnacentral:ncRNA from 1 species